rnacentral:rRNA from 1 species
GAUGAACGCUGGCGGCGUGCCUAAUACAUGCAAGUCGAGCGAACAGACGAGGAGCUUGCUCCUCUGACGUUAGCGGCGGACGGGUGAGUAACACGUGGAUAACCUACCUAUAAGACUGGGAUAACUUCGGGAAACCGGAGCUAAUACCGGAUAAUAUAUUGAACCGCAUGGUUCAAUAGUGAAAGACGGUUUUGCUGUCACUUAUAGAUGGAUCCGCGCCGCAUUAGCUAGUUGGUAAGGUAACGGCUUACCAAGGCAACAAUGCGUAGCCGACCUGAGAGGGUGAUCGGCCACACUGGAACUGAGACACGGUCCAGACUCCUACGGGAGGCAGCAGUAGGGAAUCUUCCGCAAAGGGCGAAAGCCUGACGGAGCAACGCCGCGUGAGUGAUGAAGGUCUUCGGAUCGUAAAACUCUGUUAUUAGGGAAGAACAAAUGUGUAAGUAACUAUGCACGUCUUGACGGUACCUAAUCAGAAAGCCACGGCUAACUACGUG